GCCUUUGUUCCUGGCUUCUCUCUCCUGAAAAGACAAGAAGGGAUGAGGGGGAGGACCAGGUAUGGUGCCACCAAGCAGAAAGUGGUUCUCCUGGGGGCUUUUUGAGUAGGGCUGCAUGGCCCUGGCUUUGAGUGUGCAGUCCUGGUGAGGCCAGCACCUUGCUGUGGGCACCUGGGCCAGUCAUGUGCCUGAUUCUCAAGGGGCUCUCAGGUCGGCUUUGACCUCUUGAAGGUACAGGCAUGGCUCAGUUUGCAGCCAUAGCAGCGAGUGAGACAGGACAGUCAUGUCCUGAACUCUGGGUAGCUGCUGCAGAGGCCAGACUCUUCAGGGUCCUUCCGAUCCUCGGACCUCAUGUGUGUGUCUGCGGGAGCCUACAGGGCCACUGUGAGGUCACUGUCACACCGUGGGGUGAUUGGGGUAAGUCAGUGAUUCCUGUCCCCAUGAGGCUGGCUCGGAGGAGGCCAAUGGACCCCCGGUCUCCAUUGGCUGUCAACCUCUGCAGAGGCCGGACUACUCGGGGUCCUUCUGACCCUCGGACUUCAUGUGUGUGUCUUCAGGAGCCUGCAGGACCACUGUGGGGCCACUGCCACCCUGUGGGGUGGUCCGGGGAGCCGAGGAGCAUGGACACCGUCUUCUCCUUCCAGCAGGCACAGGACACUUGUUAUUGCAGUCAGAGUCCAUCUGGAUAAUCCUGGAUAAAUCUCAUCUGGAGAUCCUUCACCAGAUCACAUCGGCAAUGACCUGUUCCCCAAAUAAGGCCCUGUGCACAGGUUCUGGGGUGCUAGGAGUGAGCCACCAUGCCUGGCCCAGUUUUUAAUGCUUGGACAUCUCCAAAAUCAGGACAUAUCUUGUAAUUGAAGACGUCUCACCAUAGCGGCCAGCCGUGCAACCACUGGGCCUGUCUGUGCCUGAACAACACACUGGCCUGCCUUUGCCUGAACAAGACAGCCUUAGUCUCAAAGCUUGCAGAUGGGUGUGGCCUGGUAGAAAAUUCUCAAGACAACGGCGGAGCACGCUUGCCCCUAGGAGACCAAGUGGCCGGAAUGUUGAGAAUCAGCCUUUCGCAGAAAUCCCCUAAGCGGGAGGCAGCAGGCUGACUCCAUCAGCCCCAGGCAGGCUUCUGGGCCCUGCAGCUAUGGCUCUUCAUCCUUUUACAUGUUCUUCGAGAAUCAGCUGCACCCUGGAUGCUUCUGACAGCUCAGAGGACAUCAGCAUGAGGACAAGCACAGGGCUUGAUGGCUCGGAGGGAAAUGGAGUUGGAAGAUUUGGACUUAAUGUGCACACAUUUUAGAAAUAUCUUAACAAAUUUUAUUUUGCUGAUAUCUUUCUUUUUUGUGUGUGCCAAAGUGAUGGCCAGUACAAAUCCAUGUCUAAUUAAGUCCAGAAGAGCUCCUUCAAUAAGCGUAAGAUGAAAGUUAUGAGUGAUAAGAAAGCGUCAUGUCAGUUUAAUUGGCAGCAUUUUCUCUUUCUUAGUGGUUCAUAAAAUAAGGCAGUGCUUUGCUAUCGACGGUGUCUGAAAUUCUGUGAAUAUUCAAAGUUAAAUCUCAUGCUGAACAGCCACUGUGCGCAAGGCGGGUGA
rnacentral:lncRNA from 1 species